UAGAUUUGUAGUAGUAGUGGUUUGUGAAAGGAGCACACAAAUUUUGAUGCGAUGGAAGGUGUGAGAGUGUGUGUUUUGAGGCGAGUGGUGUCCUGAAAACUGAAAAGCGAAAACGAAAAAGGAGUGUGAACAGACGACAUUGGACACUUGGCACAUCCACCACGCCUCUCUUACGCAGCCAACCAACCCCUCCUUUUCUUCCCCCAAAAACAUUACCAGAUCAGGAAUACCCCCUAAAAUUAAUACAAAAAUUAAAUACUACAGCUUUCAUUGAAUCACCACCAAACAAUAGGCAAACAUGAACUUCAAGAAUUUCGGCAACGAUCCUGGCCCUGCUGCCGGAGGAAGCGGAGAUGCUGGUGGGAGACCGCCGGGGAAUUUCCCCCUGACACGGCAACCUUCCGUGUACAAUCUGACGUUCGAUGAGUUCAUGAACACCAUGGGAGGUUCAGGAAAGGACUUCGGCUCCAUGAACAUGGAUGAACUUCUUAAAAACAUAUGGACCGCCGAAGAGGUUCAAACUAUGGCGUCUGCCACGGGUGUCGGUGGAGAACCGGGCUCCGCAGGCUUCGGCGGUGCCGGCAUCAACAAUUUGCAGAGGCAGGGAUCCUUGACGCUCCCACGAACCCUGAGUCAGAAGACAGUGGACGAGGUCUGGAAAGACAUUUCGAAGGAGUACGGCGGAGGGUCGACCGGUGGCGGCGGCGGCGGGCCGAAUCCCGCGCAGACGACGCAGCGGCAGCCGACGUUGAAAGAGAUCACGCUGGAGGAGUUCUUGGUGAGAGCAGGUGUUGUUAGAGAAGACGCGCAAUUGGCAGCUGCUGGGAAAGCAAACGACAGCGUUUUUGUUGAUUUGUCUCGUGGUGGAGGGAAUAGUGGCGGUUUAGGAGUAGGGUUUCAGCAAUUGAACAAGGUACCAGGGUUGAUGGGUGAUAGUGUUGGUGUGAACAACAAUGAUCCUCUGGUUGGUCUUCAGCCAAGAACAAAUUUGCCUGUGAAUGUUAAUGGGGUUAGGUCUUCCAAUCAGCAGAUGCAGAUCCAGAAUUCACAGUCCCCUCAUCAGCAUCAGUCUCAGAUAUUCCCCAAACAAGCUCCUAUGAGCUAUGCUAUGCCUCUUGUGCAAGGUGGAGGAGGAGGGAUGGGGAUGGUUGGUUUGUCACCUGGGCCUGUUCAUGUUGCUACUGGCUCGCCGGCUAGCCAGAUUUCCAAUGAUAAGAUGGCAAAGAGCAAUGGAGAUACUUCUUCGGUUUCUCCGGUGCCGUAUGUAUUUAACGGUGGCCUCAGGGGACGGAAGAGCGGUGGAGCAGUUGAAAAGGUGAUUGAGAGGAGGCAGAGGAGAAUGAUCAAGAACAGAGAGUCGGCAGCUAGGUCCCGCGCUCGAAAGCAGAUAAGCAGAAGAAUGGUAAUGUGAUAGACAUGAAGAAAGGUGAAAGAUUUUGAGAAGUCAUGAGAAGGUGUAAGAAUUCCAGGUUAUUUACAAGGCUUAUACCAUGGAAUUAGAAGCAGAAGUUCAAAAGUUGAAAGAGGAGAACCAAGAACUUCAGAAAAAGCAGGAAGAAAUCAUGGAAAUUCAGAAAAAUCAAGUUAUGGAAAUGAUGAAUUUGCAACAAAACGGCAAGAGAAGAUGCUUAAGACGAACACAAACUGGUCCAUGGUAGAGUGAAAGAUUGGAUUAUGAUCUCACAGUUGAAAUCUAUGUAUAUAAAAUAUAAAAAUUGUGUUGUAGAUUGAGUCUCUUGUAGAUUUAGAUUAGCACUUGAAAAGCAUGAUCUAUUGUUUCUCUUAUUAAAACAUCAUGCCCAGUUAGGGAGGUUGAGCACAAUACCAUCAGAAUAUGUUUCAGCAUGCGUCCAAUUUCAUGCCAUCGUUGGUUACAUCAUUUUUAUUUUCUUUUCUUUUUACGCGCCAUUGUUCAGUAGAAUCCGAAUUUGAUUCGGUGAGAGAUUGAAGCGUUUGUAUUCAAUAUAUGCCUUUCUCGUUUUCGGAC